rnacentral:lncRNA from 1 species
GAGGAUGGUUGAGUUGUGAUAAGCGGCGAGUCUGUUUUGUGUCGUUUCAAAGCCUUUGCACAAGGAAUUGCUUUUGAAGUCAAUGACCGUGCCGGAUUUAGAAACCGUUCUAGACGUAGUCUGUGUUUGUGGAGCGGGGUGGAUGAGACUCAGAUCCGCAGACUUCCCAACGCGACAACCAUGUACUGAACACGAGAAAUAGAAAAGGAGGGCUCAGCCAUCGAGUUCCAUGAUGGAUCACCCCUAUCAAGAGGAAUGUAAAUAUCCAGCCACUGCCAAAGGUUCUGAAAUGGGCAAUAGGCAGGAACAGAAGCCCGUGUACUCAGUCUUCAUUGGCUUUAAUGGCUUUGGUUCUGAGCUUCGCAAGCAAAAUGUUCCUGCGAAGAGAAGUGCACGGACAGGGGAUGCCCUGCUUGCCUCCCUUCACCCAAGUGUCUGAAGAAACGCCUGGUUUGUAUUGGUCAUAUACCAUUUUAGUGUGAAAGAAAACAUGCCUCUUGAAAAGUUAAGGACUUGCAACGUAACUUAUCUUGAGUCCGAGUACUGAGCUGCAAAAGUCAAUUUAGAAUAGAUUAAAAAAAAAAAAAAAUCAG